UUCAGAUACUUGAGAGGUUGCAGGCAGCAGUGUAAUAUUUAUCCAAAUGGCAAAACGGUGAUGUGAGACUUACAUGCUGCUGGAUCGUAGAGGAGGAGGACUGGCAAAGCGACUUCAUUUGAUUUUACCUGCUGACACUUGAAAACUGAUGUCAUGCUCUUUUAAGGCCCAGUUGAUGUCUGUUGCUCAUGAUGACUAUUGAAACUGAAGCUGUGUUGACAAUUUUCUGUUUGGAGAGCUAAAAAAUAUGUACAGUUUUGAUCUGGAAAAUUCCCCAAAGAAAGGAAAAUUCAUUUUUCAGUUGUUGCUGGUUCAGCAGUGUACAGAGGUUAUUCUUUCAUUUGACCCGACACUGAAAUCCCCACAGUCACGCUGUAAAGUAAAUAAAAGCUGUAUACAUCA